rnacentral:tRNA from 1 species
GGCAACGUGGCCGAGUGGUUAAGGCGGUGCCCUGCUAAGGCAUUGAAUUCUGCCCGCGUAGGUUCGAAUCCUGCCGUUGUCG